UCGACGCCCCGGCAAACUAGUCCUCCUCAGUGUGCCGCCGCCGGGUGUUCUCCGCGGCGCUGUCGUAGGGAGAGGAUCUUCCACUCGCGCCGCCGGAGAGACGGGAUCCUGCUCGCGCCCCGCCGCUGGGGACGGGGUCAUGCGAGCGCGCCACAAGUUAGGGUCCAAACCCUAGAUCCGGUGCUGCCUUCCUCAGCCCUCUUCUGAUCUCGUGGCGCUCCGAAGCGCCUCCCUUCGGUUCCAGUCAGGUGCCAUGCCAUGCGCCUCCUCCCUCUUGGCCACUCAUGGCUAGACAUGGCCGACGAGAUCCAUGGACCUCCCUGUUCCGCUCUUCCACUACCCUCUAGCAGCAUAGGCCGUCUCGCCAUGUUCUCCGUCGAGCAGCAGCAGCCACUUCCUCCAUCGAGUAGCAAAGGCCCCCUCCUCCUCCCUCCAUCAGGAGCGAGAAGUAGCUAGCAGGUAUUUGAUGCUCUGCUGUGUAUUUUACUACUUGGUCUUGCCCCCAUGUCUCCCCCCUCGAAUCUGUAGUUUAUUUGCCAACUGGAGUGAUGCUUCUGCUUUGUGUAUUGUGCCUGGAUGGUGGAUGCUAAUUUGUUUAGAAUUACUCAGCUCAGUGCUCAAUGCUUUAUUUCCCUGAAGUAUUUGAUAGAAUGCCUCUAAGGUGAAUUUGCUUGUGAAUAAAAGUAUGUGGUGUUCCGUGUCUCUCUCUUGCUUCCAAUAAUAUCAAAUGGAUUACUAUUCCUUGCUGUUUGCUAGGUCUGACAAUUCUGUCAUCGCAGAGCACAUGCGACUACUUAAAAGCCUGAUGUACUCCGACAGAACCUCUUACUUUCUCACUCACCAUAUAUUACAUCCAAACACCUUUAGCUUCUCAAAACCAAAGUAUUUGUAAAAUUGUAGUGUUUUCCCAAACUUCAAAAGAAUUUGUAUCCAAACAAGUCCUUCUUAAGGGUAACUCUCUUAACUCUGUAUGCACUUUAUUCAGAUUUAGUUUACUAACAAGUAAUUCCAAUGUGACAUCAUGGGGACUCCACACAUAUUUGAUUUGGCAUCUCAGCAUUCCUGAAUUUUCAUAUGCCUCAAAAAUAUUUCUAUGUUCCUGCUUUUUUUUCCUGAGAAUUAUAGGGCCUGGUGGAGUUACUUGCUUGCUAUAGAUGCUGUUCUGAUCUUUAAUUAAGUUUACAAUAUGCUCUCUGAAGUUUUGUUACUUUAAUCUCACCUCUACUGUUUCAGGUAGUAAAAUGGUACGUGACAUGACUCUUUUUCCUAGUUCUCACUGCUUAUUUUAGUAAAAUGGUAUGUGCUUGCUGUGUGCUACUAACUAGUUUACAUAUUAAACUGGUUAAUGUAUAAAUGACUGUGUGCUGCAUAAUAUACGUUUGCCUUUGUUUUUUUUUACUUCCUUUUAUGGAAUGGCUCUGCUCUUAAUAUAUUAUCAUGGUACUGAAACUUAGUAUAAUUACCACUUGUACUACAUUAUGCUCUUUAUAUUAUAUGCUUCUGGCUCUUGGAAUAGGAUAUUUAUGACAGAUAUCCUAUAUUGGCUAACAAAUUUAAUUUGUGUUGCAAUCUACGGCAUUUUCCCUCAUAAUUUUGUUGCAAUUCUUUCACAAAUGUUUUUGGCAUGGUUUUGCCAUUUUCAGUGGCUGUUCCAUGUGUAAGCCUGAAAAAACAGAUUGGUUUGAUGAGGAUCUAAUGAAUGGGAGUCAGGGAUCCCCUUUGUCCAAAAGCAUGUGAACGGACCAAAGUGGUUGCUUGCUUUUUGGGAUCGUCAGUCUAUGCAAAGAAUCUGGAUGAGUUGGAAAUGGCACAACAGUUAAAGAUUUAGAAGUGCAGAUGCAACAAUAAUAGGAAUUGAUUAAAAAUGAUUGGAAGUAGAGCAGCAAGCUGGUUUAGGAUCUAGACAUUGGUAGUAUCAUCUGUUAUAUGGUGUUGUACUGUGUUCAUGUGGAUGGAAAAUGCUCUGUGCAGUAUUGUUUUCAUUAGGGAUUAUAGAAAAAUUGUAAUGCUUGUUUAUUUUAUACUUCAGAAUGUAAGUGGCGUGCAAUGGGCGUCUCCAGUCUUUUUUUUUA